rnacentral:rRNA from 1 species
CGCGGCCUAUCAGCUUGUUGGUGAGGUAAUGGCUCACCAAGGCGUCGACGGGUAGCCGGCCUGAGAGGGUGACCGGCCACACUGGGACUGAGACACGGCCCAGACUCCUACGGGAGGCAGCAGUGGGGAAUAUUGCACAAUGGGCGCAAGCCUGAUGCAGCAACGCCGCGUGAGGGAUGACGGCCUUCGGGUUGUAAACCUCUUUUAGUAGGGAAGAAGGGCUUCGGCUUGACGGUACCUGCAGAAAAGGACCGGCUAACUACGUGCCAGCAGCCGCGGUAAUACGUAGGGUCCGAGCGUUGUCCGGAAUUAUUGGGCGUAAAGAGCUCGUAGGCGGUUUGUCGCGUCUGCUGUGAAAUCCCGAGGCUCAACCUCGGGCCUGCAGUGGGUACGGGCAGACUUGAGUGCGGUAGGGGAGAAUGGAAUUCCUGGUGUAGCGGUGGAAUGCGCAGAUAUCAGGAGGAACACCGAUGGCGAAGGCAGUUCUCUGGGCCGUAACUGACGCUGAGGAGCGAAAGCGUGGGGAGCGAACAGGAUUAGAUACCCUGGUAGUCCACGCCGUAAACGUUGGGCGCUAGAUGUGGGGACCUUUCCACGGUUUCCGUGUCGUAGCUAACGCAUUAAGCGCCCCGCCUGGGGAGUACGG